AUUUUUCCACUUGCUCGAAAAUGUUUAUUAAGCACAAGCUGUGUCAAAUGUGAAGGCUUUAAAAACUGCAGGGUUCAUUUUCUUUCCUCUGAGAGCCCACAUCGCUUUAUGAGACAGAGUUAAGCUAACAAUUAUGAUGCAGGGUGGUAGGCACUAUCAGGAUGGAUCAGAGAGAACAAAGACAGGAAAGGUGGGAACAAAGAACAAAGACGGCAACACUAUCUUCUUGGAGGUUAAAUUCUUUGAAAAUUACUGACAUCUGGGCUGAUUCAAGUAUAGUUUUGAAGUUGAGAAAGCUUGUCUUUCAGGGUUUUUCCAAGGUGAGUGUUUCUGAAAUCCUCAAUUGGAAAAUUAGUAACUUCUGUAUAAAGGUGUCACAGGUACAGUUCAUUAAAUGAAAUGAUUCCACCAAUUCUGUAGAUUCCAUGCCCUUUCUCUGUGAUAAAAUUUCUCUACAGUCUGUUGUUCCCUAAUCCAUUGGGUCUCUUAUAAGCCAUAGUGGUUCAAGAACGCAUAUGUCUGAGGACAGACUUCCUUGGUCGGUUCUCUCCAAGGUCCUACACCUGACUCUGAAGUCUGAGAGUAACGGCGUUAUAGUCAGUUACCUGAUGAAUAGACGUGAUGUUUGCCACUUCUGGAUGAAGCCUUUCGAAGAAUAAGAAUUCUUCCUCCAUUCUCUGUUCGACUGGCUGGAUGCAGAUGAUAAGAAGGCCACAGAGAAGCCACAGGAUGGAAGGAACUUUGGUUCCUGAAUCAGUGCAUGUAGAAAAGCUGCCUGCUGACCUGAACAGCUGUUCUGAACUGUUAUAUAAACAAGAAAUAAACUUCUGUUGUAUUUAAGCCACUACAUAUUUGCAUCUGUUUGAUUCAGCAGUUUAUUUAGCCUACCCAAAGUAAUACAGAUGCCAUUAGAAUUUUAAUCUCAAAUACUUAAAUUAUUUAUUAUAUGUUUACAACCCUUAUGUGGUAAGCAGGGCAGGCACCUAUUUUAUAGGCAAAACAGUGAGGAAUAUGGAGAUUCAUAAAUUCUUUCAACAAAUACUUAUUGACCAUUAGGGAAAUUUGUUGCAAACAAUUUAUUAAAUCAUUAUUUUAUGAGAGCAUUCAUUCUUUCAUUCAUUUUAUAAAUAUUUACUCAGGGCUUUCAAUGUGUCCUUCAGGAGCUCACAGUCUAGUAUAAAAGACAAAUACUAAAUUUAAAAAUUAAGGACAUAAAUUGCUACAGUGUUUAGUACUCAUGAGAAUAAUGUGUAUCAGGAAAGCAUAUAAU
ensembl:lncRNA